rnacentral:rRNA from 1 species
CUAGCUGUAAACGAUGGAUACUAGGCGUUGAGAGUAUCGACCCUCUCAGUGUCGUAGCUAACGCGUUAAGUAUCCCGCCUGGGGAGUACGCGCGCAAGCGUGAAACUCAAAGGAAUUGACGGGGGCCCGCACAAGCGGUGGAGUAUGUGAUUUAAUUCGAUGCAACGCGAAGAACCUUACCAGGGCUUGACAUGUCCGGAACCCUGCCCAAAGGCGGGGGUGCCUACGGGAACCGGAACACAGGUGGUGC